CGGGAUGUGGCGCAGUUUGGUAGCGCACCUGCUUUGGGAGCAGGGGGCCCCGGGUUCAAAUCCCGGCAUCCCGACCA
rnacentral:tRNA from 1 species